UACAGAGGGUGCUAGCGUUGUUCGGAAUCAUUGGGCGUAAAGGGCGUGUAGGCGGUUUGUUAAGUCAUGUGUGAAAUCCCUCGGCUCAACCGGGGAACGACGCAUGAAACUGGCAAGCUAGAGUACCAAAGAGGGGGGUGGAAUUCCCGGUGUAGCGGUGAAAUGCGCAGAUAUCAGGAGGAACACCGAUGGCGAAGGCAGGUCACUGGGCCGCAACUGGACGCUGAGGAGCGAAAGCAUGGGGAGGCGAACAGG
rnacentral:rRNA from 1 species